rnacentral:rRNA from 1 species
AUUGAACGCUGGCGGCAUGCUUUACACAUGCAAGUCGAACGGUAACAGGCCGCAAGGUGCUGACGAGUGGCGAACGGGUGAGUAAUGCAUCGGAACGUGCCCAGUCGUGGGGGAUAACUGCUCGAAAGAGCAGCUAAUACCGCAUACGAUCUAUGGAUGAAAGCGGGGGACCGUAAGGCCUCGCGCGAUUGGAGCGGCCGAUGUCAGAUUAGGUAGUUGGUGGGGUAAAGGCUCACCAAGGCGACGAUCUGUAGCGGGUCUGAGAGGAUGAUCCGCCACACUGGGACUGAGACACGGCCCAGACUCCUACGGGAGGCAGCAGUGGGGAAUUUUGGACAAUGGGCGCAAGCCUGAUCCAGCCAUGCCGCGUGAGUGAAGAAGGCCUUCGGGUUGUAAAGCUCUUUCGGCCGGGAAGAAAUCGCGUGAGUUAAUACCUUGCGUGGAUGACGGUACCGGAAUAAGAAGCACCGGCUAACUACGUGCCAGCCGCCGCAGUAAGAC